rnacentral:rRNA from 1 species
GACCUCAAAUCAGGUAGGACUACCCGCUGAACUUAAGCAUAUCAAUAAGCGGAGGAAAAGAAACUAACAAGGAUUCCCCUAGUAACUGCGAGUGAAGAGGGAAAAGCUCAAAUUUAAAAUCUGUCAGUCCUUGGCUGACCGGGUUGUAAAUUAGAGAAGUGCUAUCUGCGCUGGCCUGUGCAAAAGUCUCUUGGAAAAGAGCAUCAUAGAGGGUGACAAUCCCGUCUUUGGUACAGAGCUCCAGGGCUUCAUGAUGUGCUCUCAAUGAGUCGAGUUGUUUGGGAAUGCAGCUCUAAAUGGGUGGUAAAUUCCAUCUAAAGCUAAAUAUUGGCGAGAAACCGAUAGCGCACAAGUACCGUGAGGGAAAGAUGAAAAGAACUUUGAAAAGAGAGUUAAACAGUACGUGAAAUUGUUGAAAGGGAAACGCUUGAAGUCAG